rnacentral:rRNA from 1 species
GACGUAGGAGGCGAGCGUUGUCCGGAUUCAUUGGGCGUAAAGAGCGCGCAGGCGGCUUGGUAAGUCGGAUGUGAAAACCCGAGGCUCAACCUCGGGCGUGCAUCCGAAACUGCUCGGCUAGAGGUAGGUAGGGGAGAUCGGAAUUCCUGGUGUAGCGGUGAAAUGCGCAGAUAUCAGGAAGAACACCUAUGGCGAAGGCAGCUCUCUGGGACGGUACUGACGGCUGAGACGCGAAAGCGUGGGGAGCGAACAGG